AAAGAAUUCUUUAAAAAAUACUAAAAAUAAAAACCUUAAAUAAAUUCUAACUAAAUUCUAAAAUAAAUCUACAUAAAUCCUAAUAAAAUUUUAAACCAAUCAUAACCAAAAUUCAAUGAAAUCAUAAAAUAAUCCUAAUCAAAUCCUAAAUUCUAACAAAAUCUUAACCAAAUCUCAAAUCUUAAUCAAAUUCUAAACAAAUCUUAAUCAAAUUCUAAUCAAAUUUUAAAUAAAUCUUAAAUUAAUUGUAAUCAAAUCCUAAUCAAAUUCUAAUCAAAUAUUAAUCAAUCAUAAUUAUAUUCUAAAUAAAGCUAAAAAAAUUCAAGUAAAUUCUAAUCAAUUACUAAUCAAAAUUGUUAAUAUCAACGAAAAUUUUAUUCAUAUUUCAAUCUAUGAGCAAUUAAGAAGGUAACAAAAUUUGAAAAGAAUUGAAUUUAUUUGUCAAAAAAAAAAGCUCCUUAUCCUCUUAGAUGUUGAUUGCUAUUCUUUUCUAACCUAGAUGUUAAUAUUUCAACAAUAAUGUUUUUUUGUUAAAUUAUUCCAUUGCUUCAAAACGUAGCUAGUU
rnacentral:lncRNA from 1 species